AAUAUGAUCGCUCCUCCUGGUCUCAGGUCUGUGGGGAUGAAAAGCUGAACAGAGAGGUCGUAGUGUCUCAGUAUAAAGCUGAAGUCUGUCCAGACCAGAGAGUAAUCGGAGAGCAAAUCAUACAACAUGUUUCUUUUUUAUUAUGUCACCUGUCUGUCCUUACUGCUCGGAGUCAUGUCACAAACACUUAUCCAGUCCAAUUCAGAAGUUAAAAAACCUGGAGAGAGCUGGAAGAUGUCCUGUAAAGGAUCUGGAUUUCAGAUUUCCAGCACCUUUAUACACUGGGUUCAACAGAUUCCAGGGAGAGGACUGACAUGGAUUGGGAGGAUUGAUCCUGAUGAUGGAGCUACAGAAUAUUCCUCUUUAUAUCAGGGAAGAUUCACAUUAACAUCUGAUAAAUCCAUAAACACGGCGUAUCUACAAAUAGACAAUGUGAAAGUGGAAGACACGGCCACAUAUUACUGUGCUAGAGACACAGCGAUUAAAAAUCAUCAUCUUCCAUACAAAAACAUAAAGACAAUUCCCCUUUCUGACCACAAGGCUGCAGGAGAUACUCAGGAUUGUCCAUUUCCUUAUUUAUCAUUUAUAUACGGUACAUAA